AGAUGAUGCGUACAACUGAACGAACUUAUUCCCUUGCAUUUCCCCUAUUCCAAUUAAAACCCUAAUCUCGAACCGUAACAUGAACACGGGAAAUCAAUGCAUCUUCUGUUGAUCAUCUCUAUCUCCAAUCUUCUUCCCUGCUACGCUAUCAAGGUGUGUUUAUUGUUGAGAUUCUUGACUUAAAAGAAAAACCCUAACCAAAAGAAUGAUUACUUUUCUCUGAAUCGUAUUUUGGGAUUUGUAUGAGAUGAUGAUAAUAGCGAUUUGAUGAUUACGAUGACGGUUCUGACGUAAUCGCAAAUGAAGACGAGCAGUUGGAUUUUGAAUCAAUAUUCUAUUCAUUCAGAGAUUAAUCGCGUGGUGACUAUUCGGAGCUCAAAGAGGGGAAGCCUAGCAAAUUGUAAAGGGGUAAACUUCUUAGUAGCUACCCUGGCUGAGUUCUUGAUCAUCUACAGAACACUAAAGGAUUUAUCUUUAUGAACCUCAAGGCCCACGCUUUUUUUGCGCCUAUCGCCUAGGCCCUAAGCGGAGCCUAAGCGCCUUGAGUGCGCUUCACGCCUUUGAUAACUAUGGUUCAUACAGAAGUUAAAUCUGGAACUUUUCUUUUCCCACAUAAGAUCUCUAAGGGUUAACACAUAAAUUUCAACCUACUUCAUUUACAAGCAUAAUUAGACUACACAUGUUCAACAAUGAGGGCAUCAAAUAUUGUUUUUUCCUGCUUUAUUGCCCGAUAACCUGAAUUUGUAACACGCUGAUCAAUGGGCUAAAUUAAAGCGACCCGGUUAUCCAUCAAGUCAUUCUUGCGUUUACAAUUCACUCAUUCCUUUCCUUCCCAAUACGAAACCUUAUACUGGCGACUUGAUAAACAAUUCACACCAACCGAUCGAUCUGUGUUUAAAAAAGCACGCUUAAAGCGAGCUUUAAGUGUGAAGCGCUGGAAACAUCGCUUGUUUUGGUCUGAAGCGUUACAUUACGUGAAGCGCUGUGAAGCGAGCUUUAAGCGCGAAGCGAUGAUGGUUUGAAGCGACGCUUCAGCCCAAUCAGGUCACAUUUGGGCCAUUUUUUAAGCCCAACAGUCUUUAAAUAGGGUUAAAUGAGGCCUGUUUCUUUACCCUAAGUGUGUUUCGACUUUAAUUUACGUGUUAACUAUGUUUUUUAUGUGUUAAGUGUGUUUUUUAAUCAUGUUUUUGUGUUUGUUAUUGAUUAACAAGUAGAAUAGGUCAUAUUGAUGUGUACAAUAUAUAUAUAUAUUUUAAUUUUGACCGCUUCAUAUACGUGAAGCUCUCGCUUCGCGCUUGAAGCUUCGCUUAAAGCUUUUGGAACCAAAACGCUUCGGAGCGCUUCGCGCUUUUUUAAACUAAGCGAUCGAUCAUGAAUGGACUUGAAUCAUGUCCGAUUGACUCAGAGUUUUGAUGGAAAUGACGAUUCGAAGAAGAAAUUUUCAGUCGGUAACGAUGGUACAUGGAAGGAGGAAGGUGUUAUUCUCAGAUUUUGUUGGUCUAAGUCAAUCAAAGGUUCUUUAUAUGGCUGAUUGAAAAUUUGUUUCUUGAAGUUCUUGGUUGAUUUGGGAGGAGAUUCUUGGUCGAAUCAAGCAGAUUGUGAUUGAUUGAGUGAAACAACUUAUUUGUAUACGAGGGUACAUAAAUAAGAUGGUUGAAGAUGCGUAUGCAGUCGGUCAUAUAUACUUUUGGUUCAUAUCAGCUUGGGUUCAUGGUCCUGGGCAGAUAUUGACACCUUAUGUGUGCAGCCUUCUUAUGUGAUCGAGAUGUAUAGAUAUGAACCCAAGUUUUAUUUAAAUGACAAUGGUCUUAGUUUGUUACUUCUAAUAACCUUUGGAUCCAUAAGUUCUGCAAGAACCGGUUUGAAUCUGCAUUCAGAAAAUUCCCACUAUAGGAUGCAAUGAUUAAGGAUACACUGGAAAGAGCAACGGAGCCGCAAUUGAAUUUGAAAGAGUAUUUGAAGGAUGCGUAUACGCACCCGGUUUUUAAAGGGGGAGAAGUUGAAUUGAUGGAUAUUGAUGAAGAAGUUGAUGAGUGUCAUGUAGUUGCUACAAAGAGGAGUUCGCGCAAGGGAGGUCAAGCGGGAAUUAGCGAUGGUUGUCCUAAAGAUAGGACUGGCAUUUAUGCUGUGUAAAGAUAGAAAAACUGGACCAUUUUUUUUUGUAUAAACAUUACUAUUGAAUGUUAUAUACACAGUUUAUUUAAUUUAA